rnacentral:misc_RNA from 1 species
GAUGAAGAACGUAGCGAAAUGUGAUACUUGGUGUGAAUUGCAGAAUCCCGUGAACCAUCGAGUCUUUGAACGCAAGUUGCGCCCGAAGCCAUCAGGUUGAGGGCACGUCUGCCUGGGCGUCACAUAUCGUUGCCCAAUGCCUAUUGCAGUGCAAUAGGAAUUUCUAGGGCGAAUGAUGGCUUCCCGUGAGCGUUGUUGCCUCGCGGUUGGUUGAAAAUCGAGUCCUUGGUAGGGUGUGCCAUGGUAGAUGGUGGUCGAGUUAGAACGAUACCGAUCAUGUGCAUGCUCCCCAAAAUAUGGCCUCUAUGACCCACACGCGUCUUUUGACGCUCAUGACGAGACCUCAGGUCAGGCGGGGCUACCCGCUGAAUUUAAGCAUAUCAAUAAGCGGAGGA